GAAUUCAUCUACAGAGAACAGAAAGGAAGUGUGAUCCUGCGGAAUGUUGAAACAAAUAUUUCUACAGUGUUAAUAGAAGGCAAAAAAAUUGAAUCAUUAAGAGCCAUCCGAUAUGAAAUAUCUCCAGAUAAGGAGUACGCUCUGUUUUCAUACAAUGUGGAGCCAAUAUACCAACACUCCUACACUGGAUAUUAUGUCCUGAGCAAAAUUCCUCAUGGG